UUCCGCCGGGGUCUGGGCGGGAGGCUGCCGGUUCUCCGACCGGCUGCCCUCCGCCCUGUCACCCGGUGCCCUCGGAUGUGUGGGGCAACACUCCGCUAGCGUCGCACGCGACGCACCGUGGUCAUGGCGCAGCUAUCGCUGCACGUCUUCAGCCCGCAAGUGGACUCACUGGCUGGCACGCGCGACGUUGUGGUCGCUCGCGCAGCUGGCUCCAUCGGUAGGCGCCGCAGGCCCACUCAGCCGGUUGUCCGCCGAUGGCCAAGGAGGCGGAGGUGGCAGCUACGACUGCCGCUGCUACCGUGGAGGGGACCCCUGGUCCCCUUGUGCUUGAGACGCGCGCGCGGCAUCAUGGGAUCGAGUGCGCAUGGCGAGGGUGUCACGCAAGCCGACCCGGGGCUCGUCCGCCUUCUUGGGCGGCAUGGCGAGCUAGUCGUCGAAGAUGUCGUAGACGACGAAGCCGGUGUUGAAGACGAUGAUGACGGCGGUCACCCGAAGUUCUCUGCACGCCCCCCUACCUGGCACGCCAGAUGACGGAGCACAGGUCUCCGGCACCGGGGAUGCCGAGCACCCCCUUUUUUGGUUCGGUGGAGGGCGAGGUGAUCGCUCCUGCGAUCGCCGGCGUGGCGAUAGACACGAAGUGUGGACAUGUGGAUUUACCCAAGUUCGGGCCACCCGGAGGUGUAACACCCUACGUCCUGCUUGUUAUUGUAUUCAAGAUUGUAUAUGUUGCUUACAAGGUGUCCUGAGGAGUUCUCAAGAAGCUACUUGGCGAUGUCUCUAACUAGGGCUCGAAUUAGGACUGAUCGGAACCCUUUGACCGGUGGCACCAGUCCUCCUUUUAUAGAUAAGGAGAUACCACAGGUGCCAGUGCAUGCAGUAUGACACGUUUCCUAGACACGUGUCACACCGACAUGAAAUACAUUUCUGCUCAUCCAUGCUGGACGCCAUGCAGCGUCCGGUCCACUGUACACGGUAGAAAAAAAUGGUUCGUAGGGUAGCCGCCCUAGCGUGCUAAGCAAGACUAGGCCUGCUGAUAAGACUCCUGUUGAUGCAUGAAAUGCACUGCACCCGUCGUCUUGUGCUGUCUUCACUGUUUCCGCGGGCCCCGCCUGCAUGCCAGUGCGUGGGUUGCUGGGGUGCCUCUUCCCGGCUAGCGCACCCGGCUAGCAGCCGGGAGGCGUUUCUUCAGCUUCCCGAGACCGGGGUUCCAGGGCUUCUUAUGUGCGAGCCCUUACUUCACCAAGGGCCGUCUCCUGGAGGCAGACUUACCAGACUCAUCGCUUCCCGGGAGGCCUUCCCGACGGGGUUUCGUUACUGACGACCCACGCGUUCCGUAUCGGUGGGACCCUAGUACGACAAAAUGUCUAUUUCCUUGCGUGCUAAUGCCAAGGAUCCUUGAUAAAAGGAGCUUCCCAUCUGCUGUCAUCCGUUAACGCGUUUACUUCAAACUGUGGUUCAUCCAGUUUAAUUAGUCAUACGGCCUUCGUUAUCCCUAAUGGUAUGCCAUGGAUGACGGAAACAUAGAAACUUCUUCUGUUCUUCAGAUUUUCCAGUGUUUCUUGACUCGGUCAAGAGCGGAAGGGCUUCGCGGUGUUCUCUGCUCCCCGCACCGGCCGCCCCCUGAUGGAACUCGAAGCGAGUCGCUCACUCGUGCAGACUUAUUCACUAACAAUUGGGCCCGUGCUCAGUCCAGGCCCACGGGUCAGUCAAGUUACGGAGAAGUGCGUCCUUCUAUCCACUGUCGCUGGUUUCGUGACCGGCCUCUGCGACGACUACUGUGACGACGCCGACGUGAUACGGGAAACACAUAAACCGGGUUUGCAAUCCAAUCGCAGGAAUAAACGACCCACUUUCCAGUGCGAGCCCAAAGCAAAACCCGCCGUUGCCCUCUGCCCUGCGACGAUGCGUUACCAGGCCGCGCUCACUUAGCUCCUCUCCGCCACCGCCGGCACCCAGCCCUCGACACCACAGCCGCAGCCGACUCUACCAGCCGGAGGGAGACCGCUCCUCCUCCACCUCGCAUUCCUCUGCCUCGUCGUGUCCAUGGCGGCCGCGUGGUUCGUGGAGCCCUUCGUGGCCGUCGCGGAGUUCCGCCGCCUGCCCCCGUCAGCCGUCGCCGCCGCUCUCCUACUCCUCACAGCCUGCUUCCACGCUAUGAUCCACCUCGUCCACUCCUUCACCGCGCCCCGCGCCCUGCCCCACGCCCGCCUCUGCCUCCGCUGCCGUUGCGGCGAAAGUUGCCGCGACGAUUGCCGUAGCCGUCGGGGUUGGGGUCGCGUUGUGUCUUCGCGGCGGCUGUUGAGGUCCCCACGAGGCCACGAGUACAAAUCGGACUAUAGCUGAGUGAGGUUUGCCUUCUUGUAUGUUGUUUCUGAUGUGCAGAUGAUUCGUGGAGUACGGUUGUCUGCUAUAGUAGUCGGUAUCCCCCCGCCGUCGCCCUCUCUCUGGCGACUCGGGUCGAACCCUCAAAACCGCCUCCGCCGCCCUCCCACCACCUCACUUCCCUCGCUCUGCCGGAGUGAGCCGCCGGCAAGCCCGGAUCGGCGUCGAUGAAGGUGGCGGCGGGGCGUUUUUCGCAGUUGUUCUCCAGCGCCUCGCCAAUCUGACGGCCCUCGUCAUCUGUGCGUCCGACGGCCAGGUCCUCCAGAUCCGGCGACUGCGGCGCCGGAUCCGUGCGUCUUCGGGCUCCCGGCAUGCCGUCGGCCUCGUGCGGUGUUGUCGGUCGCCAUUGCUGGGCCGUCCUCCUCCCGUGCGCCUCCAAGCUCCUCCACCCCACGCUCAACUCUUCCCCACCCUCCCCAAGCCUCUCCCGGCUAGACCGAGGCGCCCCCGGCCGGAUCUUGCUGCUUUCAGUUAGCUGCUGCCUCCAUCAACUAGGUUUGUAUGGUAUCCUUCAUCUACACUCAUCAAGGGCCUAAAACCAUCCCUCUGUGAGAUAAUAUCUCUAGUGAUACCCUUUGAUAUCAUGCAUUUGUGUGCCUUCUUCUCCCCAUCUUCCUUGGUAAACGAUCGUCCUUUUGGUGGAGUUUUUGUGUUCCACUCGUGCAUGAUUGACAAGCUUGAGUCUUCCUUAUGUUCUUCGGAUGCUCCCUCAAUUCCCCGGGAGUAUGCCGUCCUUCCGGUGGUGAGUACUUGGAAACGUGAAUGUGGCGAAAGUGCAACUCUUGGUUCGAUGCUUCAUGGUGGCUAUCCUUGGUUGCUGGUCUUGGUGUCACUUUUCGAUAGAGCUCUCAUAUGCAAUCCCUGUAUUUUUCUACUUUUUUUUUUGUUUUGUUCUUCAAAGUACUUGCUGCUGCAAGAUGUAAUUCUCAUCGGCCAAGGAUGGCUGAUUAAAAGGUAGCCGCCGAUUUCUGGCAUGUCUAUCUUUCCCCCUUAACGUUCUCGUUUUGCGUAAUUCGUGGAGUACACUGGUAUAAAAAUUGUACUAAAAGGAAAUAUACAGAAAAAUUGGUGAUAGAAGGCCCCCCUUUGCAGUGUUUAAUAUUUGGAUUUGUCUGCUUAUGAGUGUGUUGUUACCAAGGGCAAAAGCGUGUUGGACCCCCCAAAUAUGUUCAGGUAUCUGAUAGUAUUUGGUUGUUGUUAACUACACCUUGGUACAUUGUUUGAUCGAAAUGAAUUACCCCUUAUGCGAGUCAAGGUUAUCUCUGCACAUUGGACACGAAAGAAUUUUUAGCAACAGAAUCAGCAAAGAAUUCAAUUUCAAAAAGUGUAAUUGUAGAGGCAACGAAUUUGUAUGUGAGUUGUGAUGCUAAUUUCUCGUAUUUUUGUUUUUUAGUUCAUUUCUGUUUCAGACAUUAGAUAUUAAACAUUUGUGUCCGAAUUCCAUAUUAAUACUACAAUAAUUAAAGACAGGCCACUUAGUUCAGAUUUGUACUACAGGAUACUGAGAGACGACUUAGCUUGUUAUUUUAUACCAGUUCCUUACUCAUCUCUGAGAUCUUUAUUGUGCAGUGUGACAUACUGGCAUCAUUUAGUACUUGAUGUUUUAGAAAUUAACUUACCGAACUGACGAAGGUUUAAACUCAUGUAGUAAAUAUUCUGGGUCUGUUUGAAGUUUGCCUUCGAGGUAUAAUAGUACAAUGUAAGUUGGGCAGGUGGCAAUGUGAGCUCAUUAAUUAUUAGCAUGGUAAUGGACAUUGAGUAAUAACAGGCAAGUAGAGUAUUAUCAAAACAUAUUAAAAAAAAGGCAUUUCCUUAUCCAGGGACUUGAAUUGACUUAUGUGUACAUUCUCACUUAAUAAUAUCAAGGUAUCUGCUCUAUUUAAGAUUAUACUGUUAAUUCUAUAAAUCCUGACAUACUCAACUUCGUUGAAGAAUUUGCUGGCACUAGUAUGUCAAAUGGCCAUAAUUUUAUCACUCAAGAGAAGCAGUAGAGCGCUCUGUUGGGAAGAAAGCGCUCUGUUGGGAAGAAAGGAGUGCCAUCAAACUUUGUACCAUUGCUCAAUAUUGCAGAAAGAAAAAGCCAUCGUAAAUAAAACAGCUGGUGGCUCACUUAAACCGCCUGAUUAGUGAUGAUGUGGCCAUGAGUACACCACUAUCGAUGAAACACCACCAAAGACCGGGAUUAGAACUGGCAUGGCAUCUGGUAAGGACCGACCUCACAUGAUUUGGUUACACUAUCGGUUCUUCUCCCUACCGGCUCCCGUUGCCUCUCCCUUUUUUUCUGUCUCGCAACGGCGAGUUGCGCAUCAGGUGCGGAUGAUGGGAGGAGAUUUCGUCUGAUCACGAUGCUCCAGAUUAUUCAGGAUAGCUCAUGCUACCGAUUUCUUCUAUUUGGGUUCAUUUUUGCAUCUAGCGUGACACCCCGGGAUCCUAACCCGUUAAGCCAAGUGGGCAGUGAGGGUUGAGCAGGUGUGAUGCUCUCUGUUUGAUCUCGCCCCUAAUAUGUGAGUUCAAACAAAAUAAACAUGUACAACUGCUUUGUGCUUCACUGUUUAUUACAUUUACACUGUUAUCAUAAGUCAAUGUGUAUCUGUAAAUAAUAGCGAAGCACCUAGUCAUAAGCUCUGGUUUAGUCAUAUAGAUCAUAUAUGAGUGAUCCAAGCUGUGACGCUCUCUGUGUGAUCUUGCCCCUAACAUCAGUUUAAACAAAACAAACAUGUACACUGUUUUGUUCUUCACUAUUUAUUACAUUUACACUGCUAUCAGAAGUCAAUUAAAAUAAUAGUGAAGCACCUAAUCAUGAGCUCUGGCUUAGAUACACAUCAUAUAUUAUUUUAAAGAAGUGCUAGAGUGAGUAUUGAAAGAUUGAACUGCCCCUUCUGUGUCAGCAGUUUCUCAGGUUAUGCUAUAUCGCCAGAUAAGAAUACCACAUCUGUUCUUUUUAAAACACGAAGAACUCUAAGUUUGAUGCAGUUGCAAGUCAAGUCCCACAUAAUGGUCAUGAUUUAAUGGACGAGCCGAUUGUAUACUUGGAACGCAUUCUGUUCCUCUACUUUAGUGACACAGUCCUGACACAUGAGUCUGCCUAACCUCAUAAGUUGCCCUUUUAACAAAAGCCAAGCAAAAUUGUUCAUGGCUUUGUGAUCACAACAUUGGAACAUCCAUUUUCAAUCUGUGGAAUCUUUUUUGUGCAAUUAUCCUGCUGUUUGAUUCCUAUUCAUUUGCAUAUGUGUUAGAUUAUUACUUGAUUGUGCACCUGAUGACACCACGGUUUCAUGAUAACUGGGUACAGUUUGUAAGUUUCAUUUCUUUAUGUUAUAUGUUAUGUUUUAUGUGCUAUCUGAAGAAGAAGAAAAUUGCCAAACAAAUUGAGGUUAGCCUCAUAUCUGCACACCAGGAUCAUGCACAACUCAGGUAGUUUUCCAUCCCCAGUUUCCUCUGGACGUUUCUGGUUACAGCAGAAACAAGAGUUUUGAUAAAUCAUUAUGUUGUAUGAGCACAUUUAGAUUACUCCUUGCCUUGGUCUUGGUUUCUAGACACUUUGAUGUUGGUGCUCUCAAGAAGCUCUUGAAUUUUUAUUUGCAGAAACUUUUCUCUAAGUCCUAUGCUUAUCCAGCUUAUGUACUCCCAAAUUGUACUCCCAGAAUGUACUCCCAGAAAUUAAGAUUGAUAGAUCUGCAGAAUGUACUCCCAGAAGACAUUGCAUUGACAAUUUUUGUGUAUCUUCCACACAGAUGCGUUGCAUAACAAAUCUUCAAUUCUGGUGGUUGCAUUCUUUUAUAGGGCCAUCUCAUGUCUCAGUUGAAUGGUUUGCAGGUGAAGCUUAUUAUUGCAAAGCUGCUAUUGACAUGCCUUGAUCCUUUUGCGUCAACCAUCAAUUUGCCAGAGGAGCUGCUGUUCAUCGGAACUGAAAGUUUGUAGAUUAUGGAUGACUUACCGAGUCAACCAAGAUGUUGGAGGCCUUGAAAUCGCGGUAGAUCACUGGCGGGUCGGCGUCGUGGAGGAAGGCGAGGCCCUUGGCCGCACCGACGGCGAUCUUCAUCCUUGUCAUCCACGGGAGAGAGCCAUUAAUACCUGAAGAAAAUAGGGUGUUUCAGUCAUAUAUAAUUAAAAAGGAGAAAGAGAAAUGUUCCUUUGGAAGGCAGAAUGCAGCUCAGCUAUCCUAUUGACUUACAGAAAAGAAACAGAGAAUAAAAGCAGGGGACAAGAACAGCUCAUCGCUCGUGGACCAGAUGACACACGGGAUUAAUCGGUCCAUUCCUGAAGCUUCUUCCGCGAAAAUGGCAGGACAGGUACAGAUCAGGGCGGUCUUUUCCGUGCCCAGGUGAUGAAAGAAACGUUCCACCGUGCUGUUUCAAUCCCCUCUUUGCACGACUCACGUGUCCGCUAAUCAAACAGGAAAAAACGAUUACUGCUAGCUUGAGGUACAGAUGUUCGAUCCGAGGGGAUGGAUCGACAAUACACUGCAUCUAGUUCUAGAUUCUUCCAUGUAUUUUCUCUCUCUAUUGUCUAAAAACAUGUUCUAGAUCCUUCUUUUAUGUCUGUUCGAAAGAGGUUACGACGGUCGCAGCGACGGUGAAAA